UACAGAGGUCUCAAGCGUUGUUCGGAUUCAUUGGGCGUAAAGGGUGCGUAGGUGGCGCGGUAAGUCGGGUGUGAAAUUUCGGAGCUUAACUCCGAAACUGCAUUCGAUACUGCCGUGCUUGAGGACUGGAGAGGAGACUGGAAUUUACGGUGUAGCAGUGAAAUGCGUAGAGAUCGUAAGGAAGACCAGUGGCGAAGGCGGGUCUCUGGACAGUUACUGACGCUGAGGCACGAAGGCUAGGGGAGCAAACGGG
rnacentral:rRNA from 1 species